UACGGAGGGUGCAAGCGUUGUCCGGAUUUAUUGGGUUUAAAGGGUGCGUAGGCGGCCUAUUAAGUCAGUGGUGAAAGCCCAUAGCUCAACUAUGGAACUGCCAUUGAUACUGAUAGGCUUGAGUACAGACGAGGUUGGCGGAAUUGAUGCUGUAGCGGUGAAAUGCAUAGAUAGCAUCAAGAACACCGAUUGCGUAGGCAGCUAACUAGGCUGUAACUGACGCUGAGGCACGAAAGCGUGGGGAGCGAACAGG
rnacentral:rRNA from 2 species